CAGCCGUAAACUAUGCUCGCUAGGUGUCAGGCAUGGCGCGACCGUGUCUGGUGCCGCAGGGAAGCCGUGAAGCGAGCCACCUGGGAAGUACGGCCGCAAGGCUGAAACUUAAAGGAAUUGGCGGGGGGAGCACCACAACGGGUGGAGCCUGCGGUUUAAUUGGACUCAACGCCGGGAAGCUCACCGGAUAAGACAGCGGAAUGAUUGCCGGGCUGAAGACUCUGCAUGACUAGCUGAGAGGAGGUGCAUGGCGUCAGUG
rnacentral:rRNA from 1 species